AGGGUGUAAACGCUGCAGACUUGGUGUUGGAAGUCCUUUGGGGGCAUUCAGUGCCGGAGAGAAGUUGUUAAGUCUGCUACUUGGGGAGUACGUCCGCAAGGAUGAAACUUAAAGGAAUUGGCGGGGGAGCACCGCAACGGGAGGAGCGUGCGGUUUAAUUGGAUUCAACACCGUAAAACUACACCAGGGAAGGCUGUUACAUGAAAGCCGAGAUGAAGACUCUGCUAGAUUUUCAGAGAGGUGGUGCAUGGCGUCAGUGACU
rnacentral:rRNA from 1 species